rnacentral:rRNA from 1 species
CGUAUCACCCAAGACAACUUUACGGAGUUGACGAUUGACGGAGCGAAGCGACGUCAAAGCGUUCAUUAAAGUCGAGUUGGCUUAGGGAUACGUUCGUUGGGUAGGGGAGCGUUCUGUAAGCCUGUGAAGGUGUGUCGUGAGGCAUGCUGGAGGUAUCAGAAGUGCGAAUGCUGACAUAAGUAACGAUAAAGCGGGUGAAAAGCCCGCUCGCCGGAAGACCAAGGGUUCCUGUCCAACGUUAAUCGGGGCAGGGUGAGUCGACCCCUAAGGCGAGGCCGAAAGGCGUAGUCGAUGGGAAACGGGUUAAUAUUCCCGUACUUGGUGUUACUGCGAAGGGGGGACGGAGAAGGCUAUGUUGGCCGGGCGACGGUUGUCCCGGUUUAAGCGUGUAGGUGUGUGUUCCAGGUAAAUCCGGUUCACUUUAACACUGAGGCGUGACGACGAGGCACUACGGUGCUGAAGCAACAAAUGCCCUGCUUCCAGGAAAAGCCUCUAAGCAUCAGGUAACACGAAAUCGUACCCCAAACCGACACAGGUGGUCAGGUAGAGAAUACCAAGGCGCUUGAGAGAACUCGGGUGAAGGAACUAGGCAAAAUGGUGCCGUAACUUCGGGAGAAGGCACGCUGACACGUAGGUGAAGUGAUUUACUCAUGGAGCUGAAGUCAGUCGAAGAUACCAGCUGGCUGCAACUGUUUAUUAAAAACACAGCACUGUGCAAACACGAAAGUGGACGUAUACGGUGUGACGCCUGCCCGGUGCCGGAAGGUUAAUUGAUGGGGUCAGCGUAAGCGAAGCUCCUGAUCGAAGCCCCGGUAAACGGCGGCCGUAACUAUAACGGUCCUAAGGUAGCGAAAUUCCUUGUCGGGUAAGUUCCGACCUGCACGAAUGGCGUAAUGAUGGCCAGGCUGUCUCCACCCGAGACUCAGUGAAAUUGAACUCGCUGUGAAGAUGCAGUGUACCCGCGGCAAGACGGAAAGACCCCGUGAACCUUUACUAUAGCUUGACACUGAACAUUGAGCCUUGAUGUGUAGGAUAGGUGGGAGGCUUUGAAGUGUGGACGCCAGUCUGCAUGGAGCCGACCUUGAAAUACCACCCUUUAAUGUUUGAUGUUCUAACGUGGACCCGUAA